CUAUCCAUCCCCCUACUGCUGCCCCACAGCUGGCUCCUGAGCCCAGACCCCCACGACAUCGUGCAGCAGCACAGAGGUCUAACAGGUCUAAAAGCAUACCGCUUUUGGGAGGGGAAAACACUGAGCUCCCAAGCCUGUCUGAGGAUUCCCACCUUCAGUACUCCCCUCCGCUUGUGUCCCCCUGCCACCUCCUCUUUGCCUGGGGGAGAGCAGGAGGCUCCCAAGCAAGGUAAGCUUAGUGCUCCCCCUUCCCCCCAGCAGCUGUACAAGGUCCUCUGGGGCAGGGAAAACCAGACAUCUCUCCCCCUAACAAGGCUCUAGCUGAGCUGAUGGUGCAUAUUUAAAUGCAUGGGAGCAUCUAAGCUUGUCUCUCAUUCCUUGACAUUUCCAGAGACUCCAAGCUGUCUUCAAUUACCAGUCUGCAAUUAGCUCUUCCUAAAGCCCCCAAUGAGGCCUAGCACUCUUAAUCAAUGAAACACAAGGGAGGAGGGGAAGGACAUGGCCUCACUGCAGCUGGAAGCAUUUUAAAAGGCUGGGAGGACCCUGAGAGUGUCUCUGAAAGAGCUGUAGGGUGGAAAACCUCAAAUAGUGCCGGCAGGUUGUUCAGCUCUGGGGAUAGGGAGUCACUGGACAAAUACCCCCAGCUCAGGCUGAAAAAAACCAGCACCAAUGACUUGGGUGUUACCCUGCAAUGCUGCAGACUCUUCCUGCUGGAUUGUGACAUGCUGCUUCACCUCACCGUACCUCAGUUUCCCUCCCUGCAAAAUACUGAUAGGGGAGAGUCAGGGCUUCCCCAGCAGCCCCAUAGGAGCUCUGAGGGUUCAGUUCCACCCCUGUUUAAGCCAGAGUAAGUCAGAGCUACUACCUUCCCCAGCACAAGAUAUGAAUAUGGCUAAAUGUGGGGUGGGUUGUGAGUAUGUUUUUGCUGAGACAGCUCACCACAAGGUCACAUGAAUGUCAAUCUAAAAGCAGGAGCAAGAGCACCCAUUAGGGACAGGGAGGAAGGGAGCAGCACAGGUCUCAGUGGGUUUAUGCAGCCAUGGAAAAGCAUUGCACAGCACCCUGCCAGGUCAGCCCCCGUCACAGGGACAUCUGUGCUGUCUUCCUGGCAGCACAGCUUUGCCUGAAUGAGCCAGAUUGAGCCUAAUUAGCAGCUCUGCUGAUGCACACAAAGGUAAAGAGAAUCCAGCUUACCCUCCAUGACCUGCAGAGCCAGCACAGCUCUUCCUGGCUGAGGGGAGCCCGAGUGCCAGGCUCAGAGGGGCUGGGAAGCACUGGACACAGACCCCAACGAAAGCAUAUGCUGUGAAUCCUGCUAAAGAAGCCCUGGCAAAUUCUGUAGCCUGAAGCAUAGCAAUCAGCAAUGAAAAAGGCAGAGCCGUCCCCUUCUCCACCCCUCUCCCUGGGGGUCUGUAAAAGCACAGGGCUGGUAACUGGGCUAGCAACCCAGCUCCCUCAGCUUGCUGCUGCCAAGGAAGGGAGACCAGCCCUGCAGAGCAGAGAUAGGGAUGAAGGAGGUGAGGGGGGGUAACUUUAUGGGAAAAAAAAAAUAAAAAUGGAGGUGACAUGGGCUGUGGGAUCCUGAUUAAAUUCAGUGUGGCAGACAGGCAUCAGGCAUUUCCAUGUGGAAUAGAGGAGGCCAGGAGAGAGCUCACAGGGAGCCAUGGUGCACUUGGAUGGACCAGGACUGGCCUUGGGCACAACAAAUCGGGGUGAAAUUCUGACCCCCAACUAACACCGGGGAGUAAAACACCCCUCUGAGAACCAGACCUCCCCCCCCAUCCCUCCUGGGGAGGAGAGGGGGCAUGACUGGGAGUUUGGGGUGCCCUCCCCAAUCCCCCUUGCACUCCACAGCCCAACAAGUCCAGGGAAUCACCACCAGGCCCAUCCAGGCCGCCUCUUUAUUCUCCAGUGAAGCAAAGCAAGAGGAGAGGGGACACCACCCCCCCACGCCCGUAACAACCCCCCCGCUCUGGGCUCCCUAGGCCUCCUCUGGCAGACCCCUUUUCCCGCAGCAAGCCAAGGUGAGGGCAUCAACCCACCGGCGCCCUGUUUCGGAGGGCGUACCGGCGGGAGGGGGAGGUUUGCCGGCAGGGAG